rnacentral:rRNA from 1 species
UGGGGAAUAUUGCGCAAUGGGCGAAAGCCUGACGCAGCGACGCCGCGUGAGGGAUGAAGGUUUUCGGAUCGUAAACCUCUGUCAGAAGGGAAGAAACCGCACUGUGCUAAUCAGCAGUGCCUUGACGGUACCUUCAAAGGAAGCACCGGCUAACUCCGUGCCAGCAGCCGCGGUAAUACGGAGGGUGCAAGCGUUAAUCGGAAUUACUGGGCGUAAAGCGCACGUAGGCUGCUUUGUAAGUCAGGGGUGAAAUCCCACGGCUCAACCGUGGAACUGCCUUUGAUACUGCUUAGCUUGAAUCCGGGAGAGGGUGGCGGAAUUCCAGGUGUAGGAGUGAAAUCCGUAGAUAUCUGGAGGAACAUCAGUGGCGAAGGCGGCCACCUGGACCGGUAUUGACACUGAGGUGCGAAAGCGUGGGGAGCAAACAGG